GCCAGUGUGGCAUAGUGGUUUGAGUGUUGGACUGUGACUCUGGAGACCAGGGUUUGAGUCCCCACUCACC
rnacentral:tRNA from 1 species